rnacentral:rRNA from 1 species
GCCCUUAGAGUUUGAUCCUGGCUCAGGACGAACGCUGGCGGCGUGCUUAACACAUGCAAGUCGAACGAUGAACCGCUUUCGGGCGGGGAUUAGUGGCGAACGGGUGAGUAACACGUGGGCAAUCUGCCCUGCACUCUGGGACAAGCCCUGGAAACGGGGUCUAAUACCGGAUAUGACUGUCCAUCGCAUGGUGGAUGGUGUAAAGCUCCGGCGGUGCAGGAUGAGCCCGCGGCCUAUCAGCUUGUUGGUGAGGUAGUGGCUCACCAAGGCGACGACGGGUAGCCGGCCUGAGAGGGCGACCGGCCACACUGGGACUGAGACACGGCCCAGACUCCUACGGGAGGCAGCAGUGGGGAAUAUUGCACAAUGGGCGAAAGCCUGAUGCAGCGACGCCGCGUGAGGGAUGACGGCCUUCGGGUUGUAAACCUCUUUCAGCAGGGAAGAAGCGAAAGUGACGGUACCUGCAGAAGAAGCGCCGGCUAACUACGUGCCAGCAGCCGCGGUAAUACGUAGGGCGCAAGCGUUGUCCGGAAUUAUUGGGCGUAAAGAGCUCGUAGGCGGCUUGUCACGUCCGUUGUGAAAAGCCCCGGGGGCUUAAACCCCCGGGGUCUGCAGUCGAUACCGGGCCAGGGCCUAGAAGUUCGGGUA